rnacentral:rRNA from 1 species
UACGUAGGGGGCUAGCGUUGUCCGGAAUCAUUGGGCGUAAAGAGCGUGUAGGCGGCCCGGUAAGUCCGCUGUGAAAGUCGGGGGCUCAACCCUCGAAUGCCGGUGGAUACUGUCGGGCUAGAGUGCGGAAGAGGCGAGUGGAAUUCCUGGUGUAGCGGUGAAAUGCGCAGAUAUCAGGAGGAACAUCAGUGGCGAAGGCGGCUGCCUGGCCCAAUGCUGACACUCAGGUGCGACAGCGUGGGGAGCAAACAGG